rnacentral:rRNA from 1 species
UACGGAGGGUGCAAGCGUUAUCCGGAUUCACUGGGUUUAAAGGGUGCGUAGGUGGAUUAGUAAGUCAGUGGUGAAAUCUCCGGGCUUAACCCGGAAACUGCCAUUGAUACUAUUAGUCUUGAAUACCGUGGAGGUCAGCGGAAUAUGUCAUGUAGCGGUGAAAUGCUUAGAUAUGACAUAGAACACCAAUUGCGAAGGCAGCUGGCUACACGAGCAUUGACACUCAGGCACGAAAAGCGUGGGGGAUCAAACAGG